rnacentral:rRNA from 1 species
GAUGAACGCUGGCGGCGUGCCUAAUACAUGCAAGUAGAACGCUGAAGGAGGAGCUUGCUCUUCUGGAUGAGUUGCGAACGGGUGAGUAACGCGUAGGUAACCUGCCUGGUAGCGGGGGAUAACUAUUGGAAACGAUAGCUAAUACCGCAUGACAACAGUUAUUGCAUGAUAACUGUUUAAAAGGGGCAACUGCUCCACUACCAGAUGGACCUGCGUUGUAUUAGCUAGUUGGUGAGGUAACGGCUCACCAAGGCGACGAUACAUAGCCGACCUGAGAGGGUGAUCGGCCACACUGGGACUGAGACACGGCACAGACUCCUACGGGAGGCAGCAGUAGGGAAUCUUCGGCAAUGGACGGAAGUCUGACCGAGCAACGCCGCGUGAGUGAAGAAGGUUUUCGGAUCGUAAAGCUCUGUUGUAAGAGAAGAACGAGUGUGAGAGUGGAAAGUUCACACUGUGACGGUAUCUUACCAGAAAGGGACGGCUAACUACGUG